GCUUUAGCAAUGCGACUGCAGCCUGUGACACUGCAAGAGACUAGCUGGAGAGGAGGGGAUGUGCUGUGUGUGCGCGUGCUCACAGGAUGUAACCUCACCUGCUUACCCUUGAUUUCCCCCCCAUCUGACCCAGGUUAAAAAGGGGUUUCCUUUUUGUUACCCUGUAACUUUUUAAGAUACCUUGGGGCUAGAGAUGACUUUGUGGGUUUAUUUGGGUUUUGUUUCUGAAAUUUCGUUGCUCCAGAUUUGCUAUUUAUAACGAUGUAUGUCAUCACCCUAUCCACCCUCCCCAUCCCUGACCUGCUCUCACUUCCCUUCGAUUAGAGAAGCACCCAUAGACCCAGCGAAGGGUCCUCUCAGAGCAAAGCGCUCUGGUGCCACAGGAGAGGCGUUAGACGCCUCUGCCCUCCCUGCUGCAUUUGAUCUUGUCGAGGUUAACUUUUAACUUCAUGGAGUAUUGUGCACAGCUUCCUCCACUUUUUCAGCCUCAGCUCCAAGUGAAAUGUUACAUGAUUCCUCCAUCUAAGUGCUGUUCUUCCCGAAGGAACACUCCAGAUCAACAUCAGGCAUCUUGGAUCAGAAUCAAAGAUCUCAGAGGGGAGUGAGUUCAUCCUCAUGGGAUGGUAAGGGGUCGGGGGCUGCUGGGCUCUUGGACAGCUGGUUCUCAGAGAACCCCAUGAUCACCACCCAAGCUCCUGGGCUCUCUCGGCCCCUGGAGUUCAGAUGUCUUCUCUGUAAAGCCUCCCACUGAGUCAAGAGGAACUAGAAAGCACCUUUGGCUAUAACAGGACCCUCGUGCUUAUUAAACGGUUAUUUCCCCUUGGGAAAGCCCAGCAAAGCUGAUGAGUAUCGAAUGAGGUCCUAUGCCCUCCAUCCAUUUACUUCCUUCUGACCUUCUCCCAGGCACUCUCAUUUGUAGGUGAGCUUUUAGUUGGGGGCAGAUCUCCAUGUGCCUGGGGUGCUCCUUGCAGAGAUACCUCUUCAACCCCCAGGGCUGCCAUGUAGGUAAUCUGACUCCCUGUGGUUUGUCACCUGGAUGGUUGUGGCCAGCAGGGAGUGGUGCCCCCCACCUUGGAGCGUGGCACCCAAGCCUGAGGUUGCUUCUGAGCCACUUGAGGAUCUGACCUGGGAAAUCCAAUUUGGAGGCUUGAUGUGCGAUUCAACCUGGCCCCAACCUUGGAUCUGGUUUUCCUCGAUGGCCCCCCAGACUUUUCGCAGAUCUGCCACCCGCAAGCCUCCUCAGGAGGGGCAUCCUGCAGCUUCCUUCAGGAUCUCUACCCACCUUCUGAGCCGGCUACCUAAGCCUCAGAAUUGUGUCCUUCUGCGAUGCCGUCAGAGCAGUCUGGUCUGGCUAGGAGAGAAGACAGCCCUGUGUUGAGGGAGGUACAUUCCUGCGUCUUCUCACCAUCUCACCAGGAACUGGGGUCUUGGGAUGAGACACGGUAAAACCUGUAGAUAACUCCGCAAAUGGAAGGAAAGUGUGUGGAACCAUUUUGAAUGAAUGGAUUGGUUUCCUUGGCUCCCUGCAAACCUGGCCAAGCUCAGCUUCUGGAGCAGGAACAAGCACCAUCUCUGUGCCCAACCCACGGUAUUUAGGUCAGGGAGGAAUGGAGACCGCAUUCUUGGACUCUACUGGGGCUGUUGGAACCCUUCUGGAAGAGGCAGACAGGGGCCAAACAACUGCCCUGGCCCCAGGAAGGGGCUGUAGGUAGCUCUGAACGUCAGCAGCAAGACCGCGAAGUGACCGAAAGAACUUGGAACCAAGUGGCUCGUGGAGAAAACAAAUUUGACUUAGGAAGGGAUUAGUAGGAAUAAUGUUUGGACUUGAUUUCCCCACCUCCUAAUCAAGAAUGAAAAUUUGGAUCUGCUCCUAGGCGAGCCCAGCAUCUCCCAAGCUUUUCAGGCUGUCCUCUUGCAGCCUCCACAACCUUGGGCUCCCUCGGCUUCCUGCAUUUGGUCUGCUGAUCAUGUCGCCAUCAUGUGUACGAAAAGUGUAACCAGUUGUGUUCAGUUGAAGUCCCACCAUGCCCUCUCUGGGCAGGUGUCUGAGGGGAAGUGACUACCCUCACCAUCACUCUUUGGAGCCAUGAAGAAAAACUGAAUGGUCUUACGGCAUCCCAGAAUAAUUUGGUCUCCCAAGAACAAAGGCAUAAGAAUAGAAUGUGGCUGACUGGGUGAGGCCUGGAUGGGGACAGGGCAGGAUUUUUCUCCAUUCUCUCCCUCUGCCAUUUAACCAGUCACAGCUUCUCCCGCCCUGCCCCUCUUCUGAAAGUCUAUGGCUGAGAAAACUCUAGUCUCCCAGGUCUCCCCACCAAAGUAAGGGGUUCUCUGAAAACUCCACCUAGACCACUAGAAGGCGGCCUUUGGCCCUUGUUCCUAUUAAUGAACCACUGAGUCUUUGUCCCCUAGUGCAAGCUCAUUCCCUGUGCCCUGCAGUUUGGGGGUUAUGGGGCAGGCUAGGAAGCCAGCAGUUCCAGAAGCACAGCCUGAGGCAAUGCUCGAUGUCUCCUUAUCUAGCUCAGGGGUUACUGGUCUGUGGGAUGUGCUAUGAGUCGCCCCUGUGGCUGCUCUCAGUGGCACUCCCUAGGUUCCCUCCACAGGCAGCUCGUCAUCCCUUCUCCCUCUUCCUACUUCUGUUUCUCUUGCCUGUGCUUUAGGCCUCAAACAGGUACCCUGGUAGCGCUCAGGGCUUGGGACUACAUACUCCUGCCCUACUGACUUUCCCCUCUUCACAGUCUGCCAGGGCCUGCCCCAGGGAGGUGGACCAAAGACCCAGGACUUUUCUCAGUAGCCAGUCCCACCCUCCUAAUUGUCUUUUUACCAAUUCAGGUUGGGAGAGAAGAAAUUUCAGCAAUCCCCAGCAUUUGAGCUACUCAAGUGUUAGGGGCCAGAAGGGACAGUGUGUUUAAAACAACCCUUAGGAAGCUCUGGCCUUAGACCUGUGGCUUCCCCAGUACCAGAGACCUCACUUUUUUCUGGCAGAAAUGUGGGGAGGAGGCUCCAGCCUGAGCACAGGAAUCAAAGGGAAAACAUUCAAACUGCCCCCAAAUCUACCAGCCAUCUGCAGGCGGCUUUGUGACACAGCCCUGGCCUUCUUCUGAAACGUGCCACUUAUGAAGAGUGUCUCCAGAGGGACGAGGAGAAUCGGCUGUCCCCGGCAGGCAAUCCUUUGGAGGCUGGGGAGGAAACUUCCAGAGGAGCCCCUUCCCCUUACUCAGAGCCAUUUUGGGAGGAAGUGGGAACCAACAACCUUUGGGGGAAGGCCUGGUGCGGCUCAGCACACCCAAGCAUCAGGUCGGGUCAUUGUAAUAAAAAAAUGUGAAUGAAGUUUAGAUUCAGCUUUUGGGGGAGCAGGAUAAACGACCACCCCACCAUAUGUGUGUGACUUCUCAAUUUCCCACUGCAAUUUCCAUUUUUUUUAAAUAGGAAUUUUCAACCCCCUGUGCUUGUCAAAUGUCUGCUCGGAACAGUUCGAGACCCUGUUACUGUUUUAAGAUGCAUGCAUGUUAAGGUGAAUCUCCAACCCGAGGAAAAAAAUAAAAUUCAAAAAAGGUUUGUGUA